AAGGUCUAACCUGCCCUAUGAUAUAUUAAAUGGCCGCGGUAUUUUAACUGUGCUAAGGUAGCAUAAUCACUUGUCUUUUAAUUAAAGGCUAGAAUGAAUGGUUGGACGAGGUACAAGCUUUCUUUAAUUUAAUUAUUGAAUUUAAUUUUUUAGUUAAAAAGCUAAAAUUAAUUUGAGGGACGAGAAGACCCUAUAGAUCUUUAUAUAUUUAUUUAUUAUGUAUUUUAGUGAAUUAAUUAUUUUAAUAAUUGAAUUUAUUUGGUUGGGGCGACUGUAGAAUAUGUUAAACUUCUAUUUUUAUUUAUUCAUAAAUUAGUGUUUUAUUGAUCCAGUUUUAUUGAUUAAAAUAUUAAGUUACCUUAGGGAUAACAGCGUAAUUUCUUUGGAGAGUUCUUAUCGAUAAAGUAGUUUGCGACCUCGAUGUUGGAUUAAAAUAAGUGGUAGGUGCAGAAGCUUACUAACUAGGUCUGUUCGACCUU
rnacentral:rRNA from 1 species